UUAUUGAUAGGUUAUGUUAAUUAAACUGACAAAUUGUGGUUUUGUUGAAUACUUUAUGUUGUAUCAGUAAA
rnacentral:tRNA from 2 species